rnacentral:rRNA from 1 species
GGGAAACUGCCUGAUGGGAGGGGGAAUAACCUACUAGGGAAACGGUAGCUAAUACCGCAUAACGUCGCAAGACCAAAGAGGGGACCUUCGGGCCUCUUGCCAUCGGAUGUGCCCAGAUGGGAUUAGCUAGUAGGUGGGGUAACGGCUCACCUAGGCGACGAUCCCUAGCUGGUCUGAGAGGAUGACCAGCCACACUGGAACUGAGACACGGUCCAGACUCCUACGGGAGGCAGCAGUGGGGAAUAUUGCACAAUGGGCGCAAGCCUGAUGCAGCCAUGCCGCGUGUAUGAAGAAGGCCUUCGGGUUGUAAAGUACUUUCAGCGGGGAGGAAGGGAGUAAAGUUAAUACCUUUGCUCAUUGACGUUACCCGCAGAAGAAGCACCGGCUAACUCCGUG